GACGAACCGUGCGAACGUUGUUCGGAAUCACUGGGCUUAAAGGGCGCGUAGGCGGCCCGCCGCGUCCGGGGUGAAAUCCGUCCCGCCUCAACGGGAGAACGGCCUCGGAUACGGGCGGGCUGGAGGCGGGUAGGGCGUGCGGAACUGUAGGUGGAGCGGUGAAAUGCGUUGAUAUCUACAGGAACUCCGGUGGCGAAGGCGGCACGCUGGACCUUUCGACGCUGAGGCGCGAAAGCCAGGGGAGCGAACGGG
rnacentral:rRNA from 1 species